rnacentral:rRNA from 1 species
CUACGGGGUGCUGCAGUGAGGAAUAUUGCACAAUGGGGGAAACCCUGAUGCAGCAACGCCGCGUGGAGGAUGACGCAUUUCGGUGUGUAAACUCCUUUUAUCCGAGAAGAAAAUGACGGUAUCUGAUGAAUAAGCUCCGGCUAACUCCGUGCCAGCAGCCGCGGUAAUACGGAGGGAGCAAGCGUUAUUCGGAAUCACUGGGCGUAAAGGACGCGUAGGCGGGUUUUUAAGUCAGGUGUGAAAUCCUAUGGCUCAACCAUAGAACUGCACUUGAAACUGGGGACCUAGAGUAUGGAAGGGGCAGGUGGAAUUAGUGGUGUAGGGGUAAAAUCCGUAGAUAUCACUAGGAAUACCGAAAGCGAAGGCGACCUGCUGGGACAUUACUGACGCUGAGGCGUGAAAGCGUGGGGAGCAAACAGGAUUAGAUACCCUGGUAGUC